UUGGCCUCUGCCUCGUAGUGGGGGAUAACGUUCCGAAAGGAACGCUAAUACCGCAUACGUCCUACGGGAGAAAGGGGGGGAUCUUCGGACCUCUCGCUAUGAGAUGAGCCCAAGCGGGAUUAGCUAGUUGGUGAGGUAAAGGCUCACCAAGGCUACGAUCCCUAGCUGGUCUGAGAGGAUGAUCAGCCACACUGGAACUGAGACACGGUCCAGACUCCUACGGGAGGCAGCAGUGGGGAAUAUUGGACAAUGGGCGAAAGCCUGAUCCAGCCAUGCCGCGUGUGUGAAGGGGGCCUUCCGGNUGUAAAGCACUUUAAGCGAGGAGGAAGGUUCGUUACUUAAU
rnacentral:rRNA from 1 species